AUAUACAUUUAGGUGAUUUGGGGUUUAAAAUUGUGCCUUCGAUUGAGUUGGUCCUCUGCCUCAACUUUCUGUCUCCUUCAUCCAUUUUCUCUAAUUUUCCUUUGUUUUGAAGGUAUGCCAUCUGGUGUAUGCAAAACUCAAAGAAAGACGUCCGGCACUGCUGUUCUACCCUAAUAUUAGGAUGGAAGUAAGUCUUAAUCAUUAUUUUUACCCCUAAUUUAACUCAAAAUUUAACUGUCGAGAUAUUUACUUUGUUGAAUGUAAUUACUGAAGAAACUUGUUAUCAUUGUGUGGAAUCUAUCCUAGUUAGUAUUUUAACAAGACAAGUGAAAACGCGAGAAUUCUUAUUUUGUUGUAAUGGGUUCUUUGACAUUAGUUUUUCUGGAUGAAUGCAUUCUAAACUCUAACUUCUUUUGUCGUA